AUCCAGCCCUCCCAUUCCUUCUCUCUUUCUCAUUGUCUUGCUGUGGGCGUGACUGCCUGUAAACAUCAUGGAGUGUGAAGGGGGAAGAAGUGGGCUGCAUUUCCCACCCGUCCCUUGUAGGCUGAAGACCUUAGGAGCUUUAGUUCCCUGAGUGCUUUUCAUAGAGUUCCGGAGGACGGGAAUGAAGAUGGAGGCCUCCCAAUCUCUGGCCCAAAGGAGCUGAGAGCUCAGGGUCCUGCUCCUCAGAGAAAAGUGCGCCUUCAGAGAAAAGUGCCCGACCACCCCCGUCUCCCUGGCCUCUGGUUGUACUUGGAGGAAAGCGCCUGGUUGCUUCCAUCUCUGUGGCCUCCAGUGUGCUCCAAGCUCACCCAGCCUGCAACAGAUUCAAGGGUUAUAGUCCUCCACCUGAUUCAUCAUCAGAAUUACCUGGAGAAUCAAGAAAUGGGCAGAAGACAGAAACAGACAUUUCUUCAAAGAAGACAUCCAAAUGGCCAACAGACACAUGAAAAAGUGCUAGACAUCACUCACCACCAGGGAAAUACAAAUCAAAACCAGGAUGAAAUACCAUCUCGCAUCAGUCAGAAUGGCUAAAAUUAACCAGUCGUGAAACGACAGGUGUUGGCAAGGAUGUGGAGAAAGAGGAACCUCCCUACAUUGUUGAUGGGAAUGCAAGCUGGUGCAGCUACUCUGAAAAACAGUAUGUAGGUUCCUCAAAAAGCUGAAAAUAGAGCUACCCUACCACCUAGCAAUCGCACUACUGAAUAGUCACCCUAAAGAUACAAAGGUAGUGAUCUGAGGGGGCACGUGCAUCUGAAUCUUUAUUGCAGCAAUGUCCACAAUAGCCACACUAUGGAAAGAGCUUAGAUGUCCAUCAAUAAAUGAAUGGAUAAAGAAGAUGUAGUGUAUAUAUACAAUGGAAUACUAUGCAGCCUUAAAAAUAAAAUUCUUCCAUUUGCAAUGGCGUGGAUGGAACUAGAGGGCAUUAUGUUAAGUGAAAUAAGUCAAUCAGAGAAAGACAAUUAUCAUAUGAUCUCUCUGAUAUGACGAAUUUGAGAGGAAGGUCAGGGGUUUGUGUGCAGGCCAAGAAAAACAAGACUGUACCCAUCUCGAGUCUAGCCCUGACAUAAGUACAGCCAUCUUGACAAAGCAAAAGCUGGCACCUUGCACCCCCUCUCCACCCGCUCCCCUCCCCUCGGUAGUAUGUGUGACACUCCUCAGCCACCCCUGGCUGCCCUAAAAGAAAAACAAAUAGUUAACUUGCAGAAAUCUCAAUCCCGCAAGACAAGAGUCUCCCUCGGUUUACAAAUGUCCCAAUGCUAAAUCUCACUAACAGAGACGCUUGAUAGAAGGAAUGUGACAUUCCACCAGGAAACUCCCAAUUGUCUUCUUGUUAGUGCCUCAUUAGAGGGAAAAAUGGCCUUGGCUUGAUAAUAACCAGGCCUCCAAUAUCCUGACAGUCUUCUUUACCCUGAUAGCCCUUCUGAAUAUCCCCUUUGUCCUCACCCACUGCUGAGUCAGCUCCCUACUCUGCUGUGUCAGGUAUACUUGGGCCCAAGCUUAACCUUGUCAAAUAAACCCUCGUGUGAUUGCAUUGGUGUUGGCUCCUUGGUGGUCUCUCGGACACGAAAACUCAGGCAUAACAGUUUGCGGGGGGGAAAGGAGGGAAAAAUGAAACAAGAUGAGACCGGGAAGGGAGACAAACCAUAAGAGACUCUUAAUGUCAGGAAACAAACUGAGGGCUGCUGGGUGGGGGAUAGGGAUAGAAUAGCUGGGUGAUGGACAUUGGGAAGGGUGUUUGCUAUGGUGAGUGCUGUGAAUUGUGUAAGACUGAUGAAUCACAGACCUGUACCCAUGAAACAAAUAAUACAUUCUUUGUUAAUAAAAAAAAAAAAAAAAGAAUCACCUGGAGAGCUUUAUACUUCUCCCCAGGAACCAUCCCAGAGAUUCUCUGACUGAGUUAUGUCUGAGGUUGGGCCCUGAACUUUCUUCGUAAUAAGUUCCUUGGGAAUUUUCAUGAUGGGUCAAGUUUGAGAACCAUGUUCCAAAAGAAGGCUAUGAACUGCUAUGGACUAUUUCCUAGAGACAGUGAGCUAACACAUGAUAAGACGGCGGAGACCAACUAACCACUCCUACAAAUGUGUCCAAAUCUGGACUACUUUAUGCAGGUCUUCACAUCUCUUGAGAGAUCUGGUAGACUUGGAAGUCAUCCAGCAAGGACCAAUUUUAAAAAGCAAGCCUUCAGGAUAGUCAGACGAUGGGAUCACAACAUGGCAAAAUGAUGUCUAAAAAGAAAAUUGACUCUUUUUAAUUUCAAGCAAUGAUUCUAUAAACAAACAGUGGAGGUAGGUCAUCCUAUACCUUAUUUUAAAUAAAUAAGAAUCAACACACUACAUAAAAAGAAUGA
ensembl:lincRNA